CGCACACCCCUCGCCGCAUACUGAGUCCGUCCCCGGACGAGGAGGCGAUCCUAUCAGCGCCCAAGGACGCCACCGACGAUGGAGACGCAGCAGUUCAGGGAUCGGAGGCCAGACGCCCUUGGCGACCUUCGAGUCCUCCCCGACGAGCUCCUCUGCGCCAUCCUCGAGCUCCUCUCCCCUCCCGACCUCGCCCGCCUCGCUUGUGUCAGCAGUGUUAUGUAUAUAUUGUGCAAUGAAGAGCCACUAUGGAUGAAUCAAUGUCUCAAAGUUGGGGGUCUUCUUGAGUACAAAGGUUCGUGGAAGAAGACAACGUUGCACAGGCAAAGUAUCUACCCUAAAAAUGAAGAAGCUUGCCAAAAGCCUCUGCAGUUCGAUGGGUUCUAUUCCUUUUUCUUAUAUAGAAGAUGGUACAGGUGUUUUACCAUGUUAAAUGCUUUUUCUUUGGACAGUGGAGAUCUAGAAAGAAAGAAGGACCUUACCUUGCAUGAGUUUCAUUCUGAAUAUGAUGGCAAAAAACCGGUUUUGCUUACUGAGAUGGCUGAAACUUGGCCAGCAAGAACGAAGUGGACAAUUGACCAGCUAUUGUUGAACUAUGGGGAUGUUGCAUUUGGAAUAUCUCAGAGGAGCUCAAAAAAAAUUACUAUGAAAUUUAAAGACUAUGUCUCAUACAUGAAACUUCAACAUGAUGAAGAUCCCUUAUAUGUUUUUGACGACAAGUUUGGAGAAGCUGCACCAGCUUUAUUGGAAGAUUAUGAUGUGCCUCAUUUGUUCCAAGAAGACUUCUUUGAUGUCUUAGAUCAUGAUCAGCGGCCUUCUUUUAGAUGGCUAAUUAUUGGACCUGAGAGGUCCGGCGCAUCUUGGCAUGUUGAUCCUGCCCUAACCAGUGCCUGGAACACACUUUUAUCUGGGCGGAAAAGGUGGGCAUUGUACCCUCCAGGUAGAGUACCUGCAGGUGUUACUGUACAUGUAAAUGAUGAAGAUGGUGAUGUUAAUAUUGAGAGCCCAACAUCCUUGCAGUGGUGGCUAGAUAUUUAUCCUCAACUUGCUGACCAUGAUAAGCCAUUAGAGUGCACUCAACUGCCAGGAGAGACCAUAUUUGUUCCCAGUGGUUGGUGGCAUUGUGUGCUAAAUCUUGAGACAACCAUUGCCAUCACUCAGAACUUUGUAAAUACAUCAAAUUUUGAAUUUGUAUGUUUGGAUAUAGCACCUGGCCAUCAUCAUAAAGGAGUUUGUCGUGCUGGAUUGUUGGCUGUCCAAGAUAAGGGUUUUAAAGAUGUUGAAAGCAUUGCAUCCCUUGAGGCAAAUUCUCUGAAUUACCCUGAUAUGACUAGGAAAGAGAAAAGGCUCAAACAUGUGGAACUUGGGAAAGAGUCAUCUAGAUAUGGUAGCAGUUGGCAUGCUAAAGAUGAGUUCUCAGAAGCUUACAGCAAUUUAUGGAAUCAAAAAUUUUCUUAUGAUAUAGAUUUUUUAUCUACAUUUUUGGAGGAAGAGAGGGACCACUAUAAUUCUAUUUGGAGUGCUAGCAACAGCAUUGGACAAAGAGAAAUGAGAGAAUGGUUGCACAAGCUUUGGAUCACAAAGCCAGCAUGGAGACAACUAAUAUGGAAGGGUGCACAGUUAGCUUUAAAUGUGGAUAGAUGGUAUGCAUGUAUGCUGGAAAUUUGUGCAUGCCAUAAUUUGCCAUCUCCCAUGGAUGAUGAGAAGCUUCCUAUUGGCACAGGGAGCAAUCCUGUUUUUCUUGUUUCCGACAAUGUCAUAAAAAUUUAUGCGGAAGGAGGCUUCGAGUCUGUUAUCCAUGGUCUGGGCACUGAGCUUGAGUUCUACAAUCUUCUUCAUAAAGCCAAGUCACCUUUGAUAGAUCAUGUUCCUGAGAUUUUGGCUAGUGGUAUUGUUGUCUAUGAAAGUGGUCGCUAUAGAACAUUUCAAUGGGAAGGAAAAGAAGUUCCAGAUGUAAUUGUUAACUGCAAUCUUAUUAAGGGAGAUUGCAUGGAGGAUUGCUUUCCUUUUGGUGUAUGGAGCAAAAUACAGUUUCUACUAAAAAAAUCAGCAGCUGCUUCAUGCACAAGGAUAUGGCCAUACAUGGUAACUAAAAGAUGCAAGGGAAAUAUCUUUGCUCAUCUAAGGGAUACAUUAUCGGAUGAUGAUGUCUUACAUCUAGCUUCUUUUUUGGGUGAUCAACUGCGAAAUCUCCACCUUUUACCCCUACCACAUUUCCAGCAUAGCAUCCAUUUAGAUGCAAACAAUUUAUCUUCGGCAAGAACCUUCAACAGUUUGGUUGAAAGUUCUAAGACAUCUGCAACAAAUCCUUCUGCAAGAGCAGUUUCUGAGGGUUUUAGUAUUCCACCAGAAUGGGAGCUUAUUAUUGCAGCUCUGGAUGUAAGGAAGAAGAAUAUUAAGAACCGUCUAGUUCAAUGGGGGGAUCCAAUUCCAGGAUUUCUGAUAGAGAAUGUUGAAGAGUACCUUCCACGUGAUCUCACAAUGUUUCUCGACUUAAUCAAGGAUACUGAUGGCUCAUACAACGUCUGUGGAUCUCCCUCUUGGAUACAUUCAGAUAUCAUGGAUGACAACAUUCAUAUGGAACCAUGUCCCCCUAUGCAUUGCUUUGGUGAGGAUGCUCCAGAUGCAAGUGUAAUUGCUAAUGGCAAACUAGAUUCUAGUAAUGGGGAAAGAAGGCUGCGGAAAUGGCAUCCCACUCAUAUUCUUGAUUUCAGUGAUUUGUCUAUUGAUGCACCAUCAAGUCAUGGGAGAAUCUGUUGAAGUUCUAUAGCAGUCUAAAUACAAUUCAGAGGACACUUCUACUAAGGAGAGCUCAUGAAGAGAGGAAGGAAGUCCCAAGGAAAUCUGAGGUAAAUGGGAAAUCAAACCACUUAGGUUUUAAAGGUGCAGCUCUUGGUAGAUGUAGAUUGCAAAACAGGACUCAGCACACCUGCAGUGGGAUCCUUUAUACGACUUGAUUCCCAUAUACCUGGAUGUUUUCAGAGGAGAUUCAUAUCUACUUAAGAAACUUUUGGAAAGCUACAAACUUCCCCUGGCAGGAAGAACAGCAGACCUCGAUGCAUUUUGUUGUGGGCCAGUAGAUAAUCAGAGGAAGCUAAAAAGAAUAUCAUAUCGUGCCAUGUGCUAUUGUAUUUUACAUGAGGAGAAUGUCCUGGGAUCUAUAUUCAGUUUGUGGAAGGAAUUGAGGACAGCCAAGUCAUGGGAAGAGGUUGAAGAAGUCGUUUGGGGAGAGUUGAAUAAUUACCAAUCCUCUGAUUGAAGGUUUUGAUUUCUAAAUAAUGCCGCUCAACUUAACCCACAAACUGGAUCGAAGAUCUUAACAGUCUUUUUUUUUUUCUGAGCUUAUCUUAUUCUGCUCAUGUAUAACUGUAAAGAGUAUGAUUCUUUUGAUGAGAUUUUGCUGAUAUACUUGGCCUAAUUUGUGUGGACCUAAUGUUUAUUAGACUUGUCGAUCCUUCUAUCCAUAACAAAUAUUCAAUAAAAACAUCAGUUGGAACUUUAGAAAAAGUGAAA